GUAAGAUGUUUACAGCUUCUUCCGUUAUGGUCACCUUAUUCUACUCCACUGCAUGGCCCCAUCUUGUUAUGUGCAGCUAUAAUGGAAAAUUAGGAAUUCAGCCACAUGAAUGUCUGCUCUGUCUCCUUUUGUGUCUGGAAGAGAGGCAGCAGAAUGGCCCUCUGGGUGUGGAAGAGGAUCAGCUUCCCUAUGCUGUUUUCCUUUUCCGUCAUUUUGAAAUCCAUAAAGCAUCAGCAGCAAGAACAACAACAGCAAAACACAAGUAUAACCUGAAAGCAUAGUGUAUAGUCAGGGGAAGAAACGACUUUCAAUCACAGUUAUUUCAUGAAGAAAAACUAAUGUUUAUAUGACUAUACUGUAAUUAAGAUUAC
rnacentral:lncRNA from 10 species